AGUAAAUCUGUAAUAUUUUUAUGUAAGGAUGGAUUGUAAAAUCAUGAAAAUACAAAUGAUAGAAAUAUUGGAACACAAUGCUACCUAAUUUCAUUUGCAUCAAUUUAGAAUGCCAGCAUGUCCUCUUUUAUUCAAAAUAUUGCAUCAUAAACAAAUAUCAGUAGUUUUCAUACCUCAGACUGACUGGUAUAACAAAAUAAUUUGUCCGCAUCAACCAAAACUGACCAUAUUUGCACUUUAU
rnacentral:lncRNA from 1 species